CAAGCCUGAUGCAGCGACGCCGCGUGAGGGAUGGAGGCCUUCGGGUUGUGAACCUCUGUCGCCGGUGAUGUAGGCUCUGCUUUGUGGGUGGGGUUGACGGUAGCCGGGGUAUGAAGUGCCGGCUAACUACGUGCCAGCAGCCGCGGUAAUACGUAGGGCGCGAGCGUUGUCCGGAAUUAUUGGGCGUAAAGAGCUCGUAGGCGGCUGGUCGCGUCUGUCGUGAAAUCCUCUGGCUUAACUGGGGGCGUGCGGUGGGUACGGGCCGGCUUGAGUGCGGUAUGGGAGGCUGGAAUUCCUGGUGUAUCGGUGGAAUGCGCAUAUAU
rnacentral:rRNA from 1 species